ensembl:snoRNA SNORD58 Small nucleolar RNA SNORD58
UUGCUAUGAUGACAAUCUUAGGACACCUUUGGAUUAAAUAAUGAAAAAAAAAUAUGUUCUGAGCAAU